rnacentral:rRNA from 1 species
UACAGAGGUCUCAAGCGUUGUUCGGAUUCAUUGGGCGUAAAGGGUGCGUAGGCGGCGCGGUAAGUCGGGGGUGAAAUCUCGGAGCUUAACUCCGAAACUGCAUUCGAUACUGCCGUGCUUGAGGACUGGAGAGGAGACUGGAAUUUACGGUGUAGCGGUGAAAUGCGUAGAUAUCGUAAGGAAGACCAGUGGCGAAGGCGGGUCUUUGGACAGUUCCUGACGCUGAGGCACGAAGGCCAGGGGAGCAAACGGG